rnacentral:lncRNA from 1 species
UGAGAAUAAGCGACAUAUGCUGCGUUCUCGAUUCUGAUAAGCGGCAGUCGCCUUCAGUUUUGGAGGUAUGCUUUGGGGCUUAUUUUGCAUUUUCUUGGCGAUUUUUAUUUUUUAGCCUUUUUGCGAUAUUACACAGAACAAUGUCAGUGUUUCGUGGAUUCGGAAAACUGUUUUCGACCCAGUCCAUGUUCAAUAGAAACAAAAGCAAUGCACAAUGAUGAAGAAACUCAAGGCUCCACAAUCCCCUACACUUAGGAAAAAAACAUAUAUUUAAAUGUUUAGAAGGUGCGAAAUAUCUUUCAGAUUUAAUGAAGAUUUCAGAAAUAUUUUUGCAAUGGGAGCAUCUUUUUUAAUAUCUUCAGAAUCACUGAAUUUUUCUGAGAUGAAAGGCCUGAUGAUGCUCUUAAUAUGAGCGAAACACGUGUAACCUACUGUUAAUAAAUACUUUUGAGACCGAGACUUUGUGUAGUUCCGUUUAGAAUAUGAACAGUAAUGUUGCUGGUCCUCUCAGCACGUUCAUUUAUCUCAAGAAUAAAAAGCCCCAGAAGCAAAUGCCAUAUCGUAGAUGAGACUCGACUAGGGCAUAAUUAACAUCCUGGCACCCAAUUCACAAGCUACCACCCUCACAGCAUAGCAACCAUGAGCCACCCUCUUUCCUAUCUUAGUGAUGUGCGUCGAGAACUUUAAUUUUGAAUCAAUCCAGAUACCCAAGAAAUUGUGAACUUCCUGAACCUCGAGAGGUUCAGAAUUUAAACUGGAGACCGGCAACUGACACUUAAAGAAUUUGAUGAAUGGCUUCAAAAAGGAAAACUGGAAUAGAGUAAAGUACUCUAAAGGAAUGGAAGCUAAAAGGAAUCGGAACAACUCACAAGUAUUUUAUUUAGUUGUAGUAGAACAGAUGACCGAUCAGCCCAAAAACCUAUAGGCAUCUAUAUGCCUUCUUUUGAGAAGAAAAGAGUAUUAACACCAAUUGAAGCAAACAUUGUAUGACUAACUUUGAAAAAAAACGAAAACCAGGGUUCUCAGAAAGGCCUUUGAGAAAGAAAAAACAUUUAAUAUUCUGAGGCCUGGAAAAGGAAAGGUUAAAUGUACCACAAAAGCGCCUAAGCCAUCUACCAGCAAUUUAGAUAGUUGAUUUUACAAGACUCUCCUAGGACGUAUUGCCUAUAGGAUCAUAUAAGAUAGUUAUUUAUGAUAUUUAAUUUUUAUAUAUUUUUUAAAAUUUUUCAAUAAAUUAAUAUUUUAGAAUGAA